rnacentral:rRNA from 1 species
GAUGAACGCUAGCGGCAGGCUUAACACAUGCAAGUCGAGGGGUAACAGAGAAAAGCUUGCUUUUUUGCUGACGACCGGCGCACGGGUGCGUAACGCGUAUGCAAUCUACCUUUUGCUAAGGGAUAGCCCAGAGAAAUUUGGAUUAAUACCUUAUAGUAUGAUGACUUGGCAUCAAGAUAUCAUUAAAGAUUACGGCAAAAGAUGAGCAUGCGUUCUAUUAGCUAGUUGGUGUGGUAACGGCAUACCAAGGCAACGAUAGAUAGGGGUCCUGAGAGGGAGAUCCCCCACACUGGUACUGAGACACGGACCAGACUCCUACGGGAGGCAGCAGUGAGGAAUAUUGGACAAUGGAGGCAACUCUGAUCCAGCCAUGCCGCGUGCAGGAAGACUGCCCUAUGGGUUGUAAACUGCUUUUAUACAGGAAGAAAACCUCUACGUGUAGAGAUUUGACGGUACUGUAAGAAUAAGGAUCGG